rnacentral:rRNA from 1 species
CCUACGGGGGGCAGCAGUGGGGGAUAUUGGACAAUGGGGGAAACCCUGAUCCAGCGAUGCCGCGUGAGUGAAGAAGGUUUUCGGUUUGUAAACCUCUGUGGAGAGGGACGAUAAUGACGGUACCUCUUUAGGAAGCCACGGCUAACUACGUGCCAGCAGCCGCGGUAAUACGUAGGUGGCGAGCGUUGUCCGGAUUUACUGGGUGUAAAGGGAGUGUAGGCGGUAGAGUAAGUCUGAAGUGAAAACUAUGGGCUUAACCCCUGGCCUGCUUUGGAAACUGUUUUGCUUGAGUGAAGUAGAGGUAAGCGGAAUUCCUAGUGUAGCGGUGAAAUGCGUAGAUAUUAGGAGGAACACCAGUGGCGAAGGCGGCUUGCUGGGCUGUUACUGACGCUGAGGCUCGAAAGCGUGGGGAGCAAACAGGAUUAGAUACCCGUGUAGUC